UUACUACUUGGAUAACCGUGGUAAUUCUAGAGCUAAUACAUGCUAAAAACCCCGACUUCGGAAGGGGUGUAUUUAUUAGAUAAAAAACCAACGCCCUUCGGGGCUUCUUGGUGAUUCAUGAUAACUUUACGGAUCGCAUGGCCUUGCGCCGGCGACGGUUCAUUCAAAUUUCUGCCCUAUCAACUUUCGAUGGUAAGGUAUUGGCUUACCAUGGUUUCAACGGGUAACGGGGAAUUAGGGUUCGAUUCCGGAGAGGGAGCCUGAGAAACGGCUACCACAUCCAAGGAAGGCAGCAGGCGCGCAAAUUACCCAAUCCCGACACGGGGAGGUAGUGACAAUAAAUACUGAUACAGGGCUCUUUUGGGUCUUGUAAUUGGAAUGAGUACAAUUUAAACCUCUUAACGAGGAACAAUUGGAGGGCAAGUCUGGUGCCAGCAGCCGCGGUAAUUCCAGCUCCAAUAGCGUAUAUUAAAGUUGUUGCAGUUAAAAAGCUCGUAGUUGAAACUUGGGCCUGGCUGGCAGGUCCGCCUCACCGCGUGUACUUGUCCGGCCGGGCCUUCCUUCUGGAGAACCUCAUGCCCUUCACUGGGUGUGUUGGGGACCAGGACUUUUACUUUGAAAAAAUUAGAGUGUUCAAAGCAGGCCUUUGCUCGAAUACGUUAGCAUGGAAUAAUAGAAUAGGACGUGCGGUCCUAUUUUGUUGGUUUCUAGGACCGCCGUAAUGAUUAAUAGGGACAGUCGGGGGCAUCAGUAUUCAAUUGUCAGAGGUGAAAUUCUUGGAUUUAUUGAAGACUAACUACUGCGAAAGCAUUUGCCAAGGAUGUUUUCAUUAAUCAGUGAACGAAAGUUAGGGGAUCGAAGACGAUCAGAUACCGUCGUAGUCUUAACCGUAAACUAUGCCGACU
rnacentral:rRNA from 1 species